rnacentral:lncRNA from 1 species
UUCUAGGAUACAGUCUGAGGGCAUCCCUGUUUAACGCACAGAGGAGAAAACCCAGCCAGGUAACUGAGUGUAUGACUUGGUCCAAUGAAGGUAAGCCUGACGAGGCAGAACCAGUCCACUGUCACAGAGUCACAGAUGGCCAGCCCGGAAGGAAAGAGCCGCUGGUUACGAGGUGUGCAGAGACAAGCUAGUAUCCCAACACAUCCGUCCUGUGAACUCCAUUAGGGUGGAUGGAGAGGAAGAGACUAAGGAUUCACACAUCACGAAGACAUUUGUGGAAGACGGAGUGUGUUUCCAUUAUCCUUUCAGAGUUUGCAAACGAGGCGGUGCCCAGCAUAGACAGGUUCUCUGCCCACCCAUCCUGAAUCCACAAGGCCACAGAUGCAGAAAGGAUAUUUAAUAAAGUUCAACACUGAGUCCUGACAAACACUGCAAGAAAGCUCAAACGGAAAGGAAGUUCCUUACUGUGAUUGAGAAUAUAUCAUACUUCUGGUAUGCUACUGAAAGCUUCUGAGGUUGGGGAUAAGACAAGGGCUCUGUCUGUCACCAUUUCUCUUGAACCUUACAAUGGAAUUUGGCACUAUGGGAGUUGCAAAUCAACACAGUGGCCACUCAAGGAGAAGCAAGGGGUGGCUGGAAGGAGAGGUGCCCCUGGAGUUCUGUAAAAUCUGCUUCUUGAUGUGCCUUUGAGUGUUCUCUUUGUGUAAAUUCUUUGAACUGCACUCUUAUGAUUUGUGCAUAUUUCCCUAUGAAAAUUAUACCUCAAUAAAAUAUUGACUUAAAUAACA